rnacentral:rRNA from 1 species
UACGUAGGGCGCAAGCGUUGUCCGGAAUUAUUGGGCGUAAAGAGCUCGUAGGCGGUCUGUCGCGUCUGGUGUGAAAUCCCGAGGCUCAACUUCGGGCUUGCAUCGGGUACGGGCGGACUAGAGUGCUGUAGGGGAGACUGGAAUUCCUGGUGUAGCGGUGGAAUGCGCAGAUAUCAGGAGGAACACCGAUGGCGAAGGCAGGUCUCUGGGCAGUUACUGACGCUGAGGAGCGAAAGCAUGGGGAGCGAACAGG